CUUUUAUCAAGAAUGAGGGAGAGAAUUAGCUCGAUGAACUCAUACCAACCUGCUAAAGUAAGUAAGGUGGUACUGCUAAUAUCGAUAAGAA
rnacentral:ncRNA from 2 species